rnacentral:rRNA from 1 species
GAUGAACGCUGGCGGCGUGCUUAACACAUGCAAGUCGAACGAAGUCACUUUUUUAAGCUUGCUUUAAAAGUGACUGAGUGGCGGACGGGUGAGUAACGCGUGGGUAACCUACCUCACACAGGGGGAUAACAGUUAGAAAUGACUGCUAAUACCGCAUAAAAUGGCAGUUUCGCAUGAAACAACCAUCAAAGAUUUAUCGGUGUGAGAUGGACCCGCGUCUGAUUAGCUAGUUGGUAAGGUAACGGCUUACCAAGGCGACGAUCAGUAGCCGACCUGAGAGGGUGACCGGCCACAUUGGGACUGAGACACGGCCCAAACUCCUACGGGAGGCAGCAGUGGGGAAUAUUGGACAAUGGGCGCAAGCCUGAUCCAGCGACGCCGCGUGAGCGAUGAAGUAUUUCGGUAUGUAAAGCUCUAUCAGCAGGGAAGAUAAUGACGGUACCUGACUAAGAAGCACCGGCUAAAUACGUG